ACACGGAGGGUGCAAGCGUUGUUCGGAAUCACUGGGCGUAAAGGGCGCGCAGGCGGUUUGGUAAGUCAGAUGUGAAAGCCCACGGCUCAACCGUGGAAGUGCAUUUGAAACUGUCAGACUUGAGUACCAGAGGGGAAAGUGGAAUUCCCGGUGUAGAGGUGAAAUUCGUAGAUAUCGGGAGGAAUACCGGUGGCGAAGGCGACUUUCUGGCUGGAUACUGACGCUGAGGCGCGAAAGCGUGGGGAGCAAACAGGAUUAGAAACCCCAGUAGUCC
rnacentral:rRNA from 1 species